ensembl:lncRNA novel transcript
UCCUGCAUUAUUUUUAUUAUAUAACCUCAAGACUCAACAGAGUGUAUUGAGUCAUAUUUUAAGGAUCUGUCUAGAAGUGUGUGUUUGUGUGUGUAUGUACAUAUGUGCAUGACUGAGGUUGGGUAUAUAGGGGGGAAUUUGGAUGGUUCCCAUAAAAUGACCUUCCUCUCUUUCUAUUCUCCAUGUCUUGUCCCACAGAUAUAUAGUUUAUAAACUAACUGGUCAAUAGCAGACUCAUUGGCAUUAGGAAUAAUAACAUAUCAAAAUGGAUCUGAUGGUUGUAAUCAAAGAGGAAGCUUAUUCUUCUGGCUUGGUCUUUUUUUAGGGUAAUGCUGGCUUUCCUGGAUUUGUUGGAACUUCGGGUGACCAAGGCCCACCAGGACAAAUGCCUUGCAAAAUUGUUGAUUUCACACGUGAAAACUGCCGUAAGUUGUUUCGGAAAGGCUCAAAAGGAG